GAGUAAAGAUUUCGGUCGCUUUGGGAGGAGCUCGCUUACUAUCAGCUUGUUGGUAGGGUAAUGGCCUACCAAGGCUAUGACGGUUAGGGGGUGUGAGAGCAUGACCCCCAGCAUUGGCACUGAAACACUGGCCAAACACCUACGGGUGGCUGCAGUCGAGAAUCUUCCACAAUGGGGGAAACCCUGAUGGAGCGAUGCUGCGUGCGGGAUGAAGGCCUUCGGGUUGUAAACCGCUUUUGUAGGGGACGAAAUUUUUGACGGUACCCUUUCGAAUAAGAGGUUGCUAACUCUGUGCCAGCAGCAGCGGUAAUACAGAGACCUCAAGCGUUAUCCGGAUUUACUGGGCGUAAAGCGUCUGUAGGGGGUUUAUUAAGUUCCAAGUAAAAUUUCAAGGCUCAACUUUGAAUUCGCUUGGAAAACUAAUAAACUGGAGUCUAGCAGAGGUGCAUGGAACUUGUGGUGUAGGAGUGAAAUCCGUUGAUAUCACAAGGAACACCAAAGGCGAAGGCAUUGCACUGGGCUAGCACUGACCCUGAGAGACGAAAGCGUGGGGAGCAAAACGGAUUAGAUACCCGUGUAGUCCACGCC
rnacentral:rRNA from 1 species